UGAAUUUGAUUAUAGCUUUCACU
rnacentral:piRNA from 1 species